rnacentral:rRNA from 1 species
UAUUGCGCAAUGGGCGCAAGCCUGACCCAGCAACGCCGCGUGAAGGAAGAAGGCUUUCGGGUUGUAAAAUUCUUUUCUCAGGGACGAAGCAAGUGACGGUACCUGAGGAAUAAGCAACGGCUAACUCCGUGCCAGCAGCCGCGGUAAUACGUAGGUGGCAAGCGUUAUCCGGAUUUACUGGGUGGAAAGGGCGUGUAGGCGGGAAAGCAAGUCAGAUGUGAAAACCAUGGGCUCAACCUGUGGCCUGCAUUUGAAACUUUUUUUCUUGAGUACUGGAGAGGCAGACGGAAUUCCUAGUGUAGCGGUGAAAUGCGUAGAUAUUAGGAGGAACACCAGUGGCGAAGGCGGUCUGCUGGACAGCAACUGACGCUGAGGCGCGAAAGCGUGGGGAGCAAACAG